AGCACUCUGACAGCUAUGCCGCGUGCAGGAUGACUGCCCUAUGGGUUGUAAACUGCUUUUAUACAGGAAGAAACAGUAGUACGUGUACUACCUUGACGGUACUGUAAGAAUAAGGACCGGCUAACUCCGUGCCAGCAGCCGCGGUAAUACGGAGGGUCCAAGCGUUAUCCGGAAUCAUUGGGUUUAAAGGGUCCGCAGGCGGUCAAUUAAGUCAGAGGUGAAAGCCCAUCGCUCAACGAUGGAACUGCCUUUGAUACUGGUUGACUUGAGUUAUACGGAAGUAGAUAGAAUAAGUAGUGUAGCGGUGAAAUGCAUAGAUAUUACUUAGAAUACCGAUUGCGAAGGCAGAAC
rnacentral:rRNA from 1 species